UAUAAGGCAGAAAGAGCUAGAGAAGUUAAGCAAUAGACGUUUCAGUAUAACGGUAUUUGCUAUAUAAUAAUUAAUGCCAAAUCCUCAUUGCCGAUACUGUUUAUCAGAAAGAUCACAGUAAGUGUUAAAUCUGGUUAAAAAGUGAGAAUGAGGUCUUUACAAUAAAAUCGAUUGUCAAGACCUCCGAUUUACUAAACUAAAGUAAAUUAAAAGCUUGCGGGACUCUCCACAAGAAGAACUUUGUAGAAUUUUUAUUUUUCACAAGUUGUAACAAGAGUCAACCUUUGUAUUAUAUGAAAUGAUGCAAAGGCCUAAAUUACCAAGAUAAA